rnacentral:rRNA from 1 species
CUUUUGAUUAUUUUAGCGGCGGACGGGUGAGUAACGUGUGGGUAACCUGCCUUUUACUGGGGAAUAAUCACUGGAAACGGUGACUAAUACCGCAUACGGUUCUUGGAAGGCAUCUUCUAGGAAAGAAAGGAUUUAUUCGGUAAAAGAUGGGCCCGCAUCUGAUUAGCUAGUUGGUGAGAUAACAGCCCACCAAGGCGACGAUCAGUAGCCGACCUGAGAGGGUGACCGGCCACAUUGGGACUGAGACACGGCCCAAACUCCUACGGGAGGCAGCAG